rnacentral:lncRNA from 1 species
AUUGAAAGCACCAGUGAGCUCCAGGCCGUUACUUUGAAGUCCUGGGCAUGUUGAUUAAUGAGUCACAAGCUGGCAGAGCUCCAGCCUUUCAGGACCGGGUUUCCAAUGUCCUUGCUGCUGCUUUCUGCUGUUCAGACGCUUCCAAGUCAAUUGUGAAGGCCAUGAGGCUCCGACCCUGCCCGCCAGUGAGAUCUCUGGUCCCCAGGAUGAGCCCAGGACCUGGCUGUUGCUGUCACCACCCUGACCUGCAGAGAAGCUCCAGACUCGAAUCCCGAGACUGGGGCUCCUUCCCCAGCAAGGCAAGGCAGAGACUGACAAGAGGCGGGCUUUGAGACUGCUGAAGAGUUCAUUUUACCGAUUCACACGCGGAGGCUGAUAGCGUUUCAGUAAUUUACCCGGUAAAUUUCCCUUUGUUAUAAGAGGUGGGGCUGGGAUUGAGCUAAGAGAAUUCUUUUCCUCUGUAACACUGAUUGCCCAAGAUAGGGGUUCCCCAAAGUAUGAAACUCAGGAACAGCUGAGAGCUUUAAAAAAUACAUGGAUUUCUAACUGCCACCAUAACCCUAAUCAACUAGAAUCAGGGGUGUAAAUUAGGAGAAAUUAUAUUAAAAAAAAAUGUUUGCUUAUCUGUUUGUUUGUCAAAUUCUGAUGCUCAACCCUGCUUGGAAAAUGUAGAAUUAGGCAGACCUCAUAUUCAGAAGGAUCUGAAGCGGCUUCACGCAGUCAAGUGGGUACCUAUGACUAAUGCCGUGGUUCUCAGAGGGUGGUCCUUACACGGCAGCUUCAGCUCACUUGGGAACUUGUUAAAGAUGGCAGGGCCUCAGCCAGAACUACCUAAUGAGAAUCCAAGUGGUACCUAGAAAUCUGUGCUUGUAAUUCUUCUGGGCGAUCCCAACGUUUGCU